UACGGAGGGUGCAAGCGUUAUCCGGAUUUACUGGGUUUAAAGGGUGUGUAGGCGGGCCGUGUAAGUCAGAGGUGAAAUCCCGGAGCUCAACUCCGGAACUGCCCCUGAUACUACCGGUCUUGAAUACUGAUGAGGUGGGCGGAACGGGUCAUGUAGCGGUGAAAUGCUUAGAGAUGACCCGGAACACCGAUUGCGAAGGCAGCUCACUGGGCAGUUAUUGACGCUGAGGCACGAAAGCGUGGGGAUCAAACAGG
rnacentral:rRNA from 1 species